rnacentral:rRNA from 1 species
AUACGGAGGGUGCAAGCGUUGUCCGGAUUUAUUGGGGUUAAAGGGUGCGUAGGCGGUGCGCAAAGUCAGUGGUGAAAUCCCGCAGCUCAACUGCGGAACUGCCAUUGAUACUGGCGCACUUGAGUACGGACGAGGUAGGCGGAAUUUAUGGUGUAGCGGUGAAAUGCAUAGAUACCAUAAAGAACACCGAUAGCGAAGGCAGCUCACUAGACCGUAACUGACGCUCAGGCACGAAAGCGUGGGGAGCGAACAGGAUUAGAAACCCUAGUAGUCC